rnacentral:rRNA from 1 species
UACGUAGGGCGCAAGCGUUAUCCGGAAUUAUUGGGCGUAAAGAGCUCGUAGGCGGCUUGUCGCGUCGACUGUGAAAACUUGGGGCUCAACUUCAAGCUUGCAGUCGAUACGGGCAGGCUAGAGUUCGGUAGGGGAGACUGGAAUUCCUGGUGUAGCGGUGAAAUGCGCAGAUAUCAGGAGGAACACCGGUGGCGAAGGCGGGUCUCUGGGCCGAUACUGACGCUGAGGAGCGAAAGCGUGGGGAGCGAACAGG